rnacentral:rRNA from 1 species
AGUGAACGCUGGCGGUAGGCCUAACACAUGCAAGUCGAACGGCAGCACAGUAAGAGCUUGCUCUUACGGGUGGCGAGUGGCGGACGGGUGAGGAAUACAUCGGCAUCUACUUUUUCGUGGGGGAUAACGGAGGGAAACUUACGCUAAUACAUCAUACGACCUACGGGUGAAAUCAGGGGAUCUUCGGACCUUGCGCGAUUGAAUGAGCCGAUGUCGGAUUAGCUAGUUGGCGGGGGAAAGGCCCACCAAGGCGACGAUCCGUAGCUGGUCUGAGAGGAUGAUCAGCCACACUGGAACUGAGACACGGUCCAGACUCCUACGGGAGGCAGCAGUGGGGAAUAUUGGACAAUGGGCGCAAGCCUGAUCCAGCCAUACCGCGUGGGUGAAGAAGGCCUUCGGGUUGUAAAGCCCUUUUGUUGGGAAAGAAAAGCAGCAGGUUAAUACCCCGCUGUUCUGACGGUACCCAACGAAUAAGCACCGGCUAACUUCGUG